rnacentral:ncRNA from 1 species
AAUAUAUAAUAGCAAAGCAGUUUAAAGGCUGUGACGCAAAAACAUAAGUCUAAGGGAUUUCCUAUGAUAGUUAUGUUUACCUCA